rnacentral:sRNA from 1 species
UACCCAAGGAAGAAAAAAAAGCGAGGGC